UUCUUUGAGAUACAUCCAAGUUGUGUGUGUAAAUUAGAUGCUUUUUUGAGGACAUCAUAUUGAAGGUAGAUUCAUCAACUACAGUAGAGGAAGGAGCCACAAACACUAUUAUAUGCAGAAACCAACAAUUUUAAAAAUACGCUACAGAGAGAAAAGGCAAUUGAAACGACAAGGACUAACAGCAGACAGUAUUUAGAAAACAUCAUGGCUCUGAAGAGAAAGUGGAGAUUUUGUGGUGUUGUACAUUGAAAGCUUAUCUGAAACAGUCCCCCUCUCUCUUUUCCUCUCUCUUUGUCCCUCUGUGCCACCCCUAAUGUAUUCACUUUUUUCUCUACUCACUCCCUCACUUCCAAUAUUUAAGUC
rnacentral:lncRNA from 1 species